CGAGCGGGCUUAACACAUGCAAUUGAACGGAAAGGCCCUUCGGGGUACCCGAAGUGGCGAACGGGUGAGUACCACGUGGGUGAUCUGCCCUGCACUUUGGGAUAAGCCUGGGAAACUGGGUCUAAUACGGAAUAUGACCAUGCACUUCCUGGUGUGUGGUGGAAAGCUUUUGCGGUGUGGGAUGGGCCCGCGGCCUAUCAGCUUGUUGGUGGGGUAAUGGCCUACCAAGGCGACGACGUGUAGCCGGCCUGAGAGGGUGACCGGCCACACUGGGACUGAGAUACGGCCCAGACUCCUACGGGAGGCAGCAGUGGGGAAUAUUGCACAAUGGGCGCAAGCCUGAUGCAGCGACGCCGCGUGAGGGAUGACGGCCUUCGGGUUGUAAACCUCUUUCAGCACAGACGAAGCGCAAGUGACGGUAUGUGCAGAAGAAGGACCGGCCAACUACGUGCCAGCAGCCGCGGUAAUACGUAGGGUCCGAGCGUUGUCCGGAAUUACUGGGCGUAAAGAGCUCGUAGGUGGUUUGUCGCGUUGUUCGUGAAAACUCACAGCUUAACUGUGGGCGUGCGGGCGAUACGGGCAGACUUGAGUACUGCAGGGGAGACUGGAAUUCCUGGUGUAGCGGUGGAAUGCGCAGAUAUCAGGAGGAACACCGGUGGCGAAGGCGGGUCUCUGGGCAGUAACUGACGCUGAGGAGCGAAAGCGUGGGGAGCGAACAGGAUUAGAUACCCUGGUAGUCCACGCCGUAAACGGUGGGUACUAGGUGUGGGUUUCCUUCCUUGGGAUCCGUGCUGUAGCUUACGCAUUAAGUGCACCGCCUGAGGAGUACGGCCGCCUGGCUAAAACU
rnacentral:rRNA from 1 species